CACACUCCAAGCGAAGCUUGAUGUUGGACGAAGCGGUCUCUUCGGGGAUCGCUCGUCUGGAACGUGUGGGCGCCCGCCGCCGGACCACGAGCGUAGCAAGACUAUUGUCAAUUCGUUCUGUGGGUUCCGACGGGGGGUUGGCCUCAUUCUCUUCUGUCUCAGAAA
rnacentral:misc_RNA from 1 species